rnacentral:rRNA from 1 species
AACGAACUGGGAGAUAGCUCGUUCUCCCCGAAAUAGCUUUAGGGCUAGCGUCGCGGGAUAGGUACUGGAGGUAAAGCGCUGGAUGGGCUAGGGGGCUUCAAGCUUACUGAACCCAACCAAACUGAGAAUGCCAGUACGUGGACAGCGGCAGUCGGACGGUGGGUGAUGAGAUUCAUCGUCGAGAGGGAAACAACCCAGAUCUACAGCUAAGGUCCUGAAGUCACUGCUAAGUGGGAAACGAUGUGACCGUGUCGAGACAGCCAGGAGGUUGGCUUAGAAGCAGCCACCCUUGAAAGAGUGCGUAACAGCUCACUGGUCGAACGCGGUUGCGCGGAUAAUGUAACGGGGCUCAAGCAGUGCACCGAAGCUUGGGAUGGUCGCAAGACUAUGGUAGGGGAGCGUUCCGCGGGCGGAGAAGGUGGGCUGGAAGGCACACUGGAGCGCGCGGGAGUGAGAAUGCCGGCAUGAGUAGCGUAAAACAUGUGAGAACCAUGUUCGCCGAGAAUCUAAGGUUUCCGACGGAAGGUCAGUCCGCGUCGGGUUAGUCGGGCCUAAGGCGAGGCCGAGAGGCGUAGCUGAUGGACAACCGGUUAAUAUUCCGGUACCGAGGUGUGGAGCGAAACAGGAAGGCCAUGGGAAAGGUCAGCCACCGGGUGGAUGGUGGUGGCAAGCGGUUAAUGACCGCGAAGCCGUCCCGCAAGGGAAGAAGUGACUGGCACCUGAGGACAAGAAAAACCUGUCAGCGACGAAGCAUCUCGCCCGUACCCCAAACCGACACAGGUAGAUGGGUUGAGAAUACCAUGGCGAACGGGAGAACCCUUGUUAAGGAACUAGGCAAAAAGGUCCCGUAACUUCGGGAGAAGGGACACCUCCGGAAACGGAGGUCGCAGCAAAGAGGCUCUACCGACUGUUUACCAAAAACACAGGUCUCUGCAAACGCGAAAGCGGACGUAUAGGGGCUGACACCUGCCCAGUGCCGGAAGGUUAAGAGGAGCGGUUAGCUGAAAGGCGAAGCUGUGAAUUGAAGCCCCGGUGAACGGCGGCCGUAACUAUAACGGUCCUAAGGUAGCGAAAUUCCUUGUCGGGUAAGUUCCGACCCGCACGAAAGGUGUAACGAGUGGAGCACUGUCUCAACAGGGGACCCGGCGAAAUUGAAGUACGUGUAAAGAUGCGCGUUACCCGCAGUUGGACAAAAAGACCCUGUGGAGCUUUACUGUAGCCUGUCAUUGCGUUAGGGCAUGUUCUGUGUAGUAUAGCUGGGAGGCAGCGAAACCUGGUCGCUAGAUUGGGUGGAGUCGACAGUGAAAUACCAGCCUGAAGAUGCUUUGGCCCUAACCGUAUCAUGUGAAGCCAUGAGCGGGACAGUGGCAGGUGGGCAGUUUGACUGGGGCGGUCGCCUCCAAAAGAGUAACGGAGGCGCCCAAAGGUUGGCUCAGGCGGAAUGGAAACCCGCCGCAGAGUGUAAAGGCAAAAGCCAGCUUGACUGCGAGACCAACAAGUCGAGCAGAGACGAAAGUCGGGCUUAGUGAUCCUACGGCGCUGAGUGGAAGGGCCGUAGCUUACCGGAUAAAAGCUACCCCGGGGAUAACAGGCUAGUCUUGCCCAAGAGUUCACAUCGACGGCAAGGCUCGGCACCUCGAUGUCGGCUCAUCGCAUCCUGGGGCUGGAUAAGGUCCCAAGGGUUGGGCUGUUCGCCCAUUAAAGCGGUACGUGAGCUGGGUUCAGACCGUCGUGAGACAGGUCGGUCUCUAUCCGCUGUGGGCGUUGGGAGUUUGAGAGGCACUGCCCCUAGUACGAGAGGACCGGGGUGGACGAAGCGCCUGUGAGCCGGUUGUUACGCCAGUGACAUAGCCGGGUAGCAGACUUCGGAGCUGAUAACCGCUGAAAGCAUCUAAGUGGGAAACAGACCUCAAGAUGAGACUCCCCAUUUCAACAAGAAAGUAAGACCGCUGGAAGACAACCAGUUGGAUAGGCCGGAGGUGGAAGGGCAGCAAUGUCUGUAGCCAACCGGUACUAAUGGUCGAGGGCUUUUGAGAU